GAUUAACGCUGGCGGCGUGCAUAACACAUGCAAGUCGAACGAUGAAACUUUAAUGAACCCUUCGGGGAGAAUUAAAGCGGAUUAGUGGCGAACGGGUGAGUAACGCGUGAGUAACCUGCCUUACACAAGGGGAUAGCCUUUGGAAACGAAGAAUAAUACCCUAUAAAACCAUAAAAGCACAUGCAAUUAUGGUCAAAGUGAUAGCGGUGUAAGAUGGACUUACGUCUGAUUAGCUAGUUGGUGAGAUAAAAGCCCACCAAGGCAACGAUCAGUAGCCGGCUUGAGAGAGUGUACGGCCACAUUGGGACUGAGACACGGCCCAGACUCCUACGGGAGGCAGCAGUGGGGAAUUUUGCACAAUGGGGGAAACCCUGAUGCAGCGACGCCGCGUGAUUUAGAAGGCCUUCGGGUUGUAAAAAUCUUUUGUAUAGGAAGAAAAUGACAGUACUAUACGAAUAAGGUCCGGCUAAUUACGUG
rnacentral:rRNA from 1 species